rnacentral:rRNA from 1 species
UACGAAGGGGGCUAGCGUUGCUCGGAAUUACUGGGCGUAAAGGGCGCGUAGGCGGCUAGUUAAGUCAGAGGUGAAAGCCCAGGGCUCAACCCUGGAAUUGCCUUUGAUACUGGCUAUCUUGAGUUCGGGAGAGGUGAGUGGAACUGCGAGUGUAGAGGUGAAAUUCGUAGAUAUUCGCAAGAACACCAGUGGCGAAGGCGGCUCACUGGCCCGAUACUGACGCUGAGGCACGAAAGCGUGGGGAGCAAACAGG